rnacentral:hammerhead_ribozyme from 1 species
AUUCAGCUGACGAGUCUAAAUUUGUACGAAACGCGCGUCCUGAAU